UACGUAGGGGGCUAGCGUUGUCCGGAAUUAUUGGGCGUAAAGCGCGCGCAGGCGGUCCUUUAAGUCUGAUGUGAAAGCCCACGGCUCAACCGUGGAGGGUCAUUGGAAACUGGGGGACUUGAGUACAGAAUAGAAGAGUGGAAUUCCACGUGUAGCGGUGAAAUGCGUAGAGAUGUGGAGGAACACCAGUGGCGAAGGCGACUCUUUGGUCUGUAACUGACGCUGAGGCGCGAAAGCGUGGGGAGCAAACAGG
rnacentral:rRNA from 1 species